rnacentral:rRNA from 1 species
UGGCGGACGGGUGAGUAACGCGUGGGUAACCUGCCUCAUACAGGGGGAUAACAGUUAGAAAUGACUGCUAAUACCGCAUAAGACCACAGGACCGCAUGGUCCAGUGGUAAAAACUCCGGUGGUAUGAGAUGGACCCGCGUCUGAUUAGCUAGUUGGUAAGGUAACGGCUUACCAAGGCGACGAUCAGUAGCCGACCUGAGAGGGUGACCGGCCACAUUGGGACUGAGACACGGCCCAA